GGAGCUGUUGUGUGUUUUCACAGCAAACUCACUUCCACCCUCGCUGUUGUCUUCAGAGCUUCACAAAGAGGACAGAGAGGACAGAGAGGACACACUCGUCUCCACGCCUUUACGCACAGUCUACUUCCAUCACAGCCAGGAUCCAAAAAACAACACUGCUUGUAAAGAAAUGCAUCCCAUAGACAGUGACAUCAUCCAGCUGGAGACCAGUGGAGACAGAAACAACCAAAGUAAAGAAGACAAAGAGGAUUUGUGCCACAUUUCCACCACGAUGCCCACCGGCUGGAUCAGAGAGGUUCGGCAGAGGCGAGGAGGCAAGACAGCAGGCAAACUGGACGUGUACAUUACAAGUCCUCAAGGGCAGAGGUUCCGGUCAAGGUCAUCCCUGCACGCUUUCCUCCUCAAAAAUGUAGAAGACAACUUGGACAUAAGCCUCUUCAGUUUCACCGCAUCCAAGGAUGAUGUCACCGCAGCGUCACAAAUGCUUCCCACCCAAAUCAGAAAGGGCAGAACAAAGAAAAAGCGUGCUAAUAAACAAGAGGAGACGACAGAAAACCUGGAUCCACCUCCAAAUGAAUCUACAAGAGCCGCUUGCUCCCGCAGAAGAACUCCAGAAGCAGAUGUAAAGAGUGCAGAUGAUACUAAUCACGUUAGUGAUGUUUGUCCAGAGGAAACUGA